rnacentral:rRNA from 1 species
CACGUAGGGCGCAAGCGUUGUCCGGAAUUAUUGGGCGUAAAGAGCUCGUAGGCGGUGUGUCGCGUCGGCCGUGAAAACCUGCAGCUUAACUGUGGGCUUGCGGUCGAUACGGGCAUCACUGGAGUUCGGCAGGGGAGACUGGAAUUCCUGGUGUAGCGGUGAAAUGCGCAGAUAUCAGGAGGAACACCGGUGGCGAAGGCGGGUCUCUGGGCCGAUAUUGACGCUGAGGAGCGAAAGCGUGGGGGAGCGAACAGG